GGGGAGGCUCAAAGAAUCUCUGAGCUGCUCAGUGAGCUCUUCUGUCUGGCUCCCAG
rnacentral:miRNA from 1 species